rnacentral:rRNA from 1 species
GAUGAACGCUAGCUACAGGCUUAACACAUGCAAGUCGAGGGGUAACGAGAGGAAAGCUUGCUUUCCUUGUCGACGACCGGCGCACGGGUGAGUAACGCGUUUCCAACCUGCCCCCAACUAGGGAAUAACCUUGCGAAAGUAAGACUAAUACCCUAUAAUUUCCUCAGAUGUCAUCUGACGAGGAAUAAAGAUUUAUCGGUUGUGGAUGGGGAUGCGUCUGAUUAGCUUGUUGGCGGGGUAACGGCCCACCAAGGCAACGAUCAGUAGGGGUUUUGGGAGGAAGGUCCCCCACAUUGGAACUGAGACACGGUCCAAACUCCUACGGGAGGCAGCAGUGAGGAAUAUUGGUCAAUGGGCGGAAGCCUGAACCAGCCAAGUAGCGUGCAGGAUGACGGCCCUAUGGGUUGUAAACUGCUUUUAUACAGGAAUAAAGUUAGCCACGUGUGGUUAUUUGUAGGUACUGUAUGAAUAAGGACCGGCUAAUUCCGUGCCAGCAGCCGCCGUAA